GAAAUGCGAUAAGUAGUGUGAAUUGCAGAAUUCAGUGAAUCAUCGAAUCUUUGAACGCACAUUGCGCCCCUUGGUAUUCCAUGGGGCAUGCCUGUUCGAGCGUCAUUUGUACCCUCAAGCUCUGCUUGGUGUUGGGUGUUUGUCCCGUCUCCGCGCGUGGACUCGCCCCAAAGUGAUUGGCAGCCGGCGUACUGGUCCCGGAGCGCAGCACAUGUCGCGCAAACGAGUGCCUUGGUACGGCGGCGUCCAUAAGCCCCUCUCUCACGCUCUUGACCUCGGAUCAGGUAGUGAUACCCGCUGAACUUGAGC
rnacentral:misc_RNA from 1 species